rnacentral:ncRNA from 1 species
UGAAGGACAUUAGCUUUUCUUAAUGCUCUGUAUACAAUCCAGCAACUCUGCAACACGAUGUUGCAGAGAGUGAAACCUGAGCCAUGGAUGGCGAAUGUUGAGCGGUUGCGUCAAAUUACCUCAACUUAUAUCGGAGCAUUUAGAAAAUCUUAUGUCCGUAA